UUGCUUUGGCAGCACAUAUACUAAAAUGGAAACAAUACAGAGAAGAUUAGCAUGACCCCUGCACAAGGUUGACACAAAAAUUUGUGAAGCAUUCCAUAUUUAA
ensembl:snRNA U6 U6 spliceosomal RNA